UAACAUCAUACUCGUUGCAAAGUUGGCAGCUAAAUCUGACGGCCAUCCCGAGUUGAAUCCUAUGGCUCGAGAGAUGGUUAGCGUUGAAAAAAAGAAGGUCAUAAUACCUUUGCGGGCCUACAUGUCACUUGCACGGCGUUUGCUUUAUCCGCCUGCGAAGUUUCUCUCCGCACGAGCCCCACACGCUCUGACAGUCACACACUCCGAACCCCCCAUGGCGUGCCACCUCGCCGCUGCCUGCGUCCCGCGCCUCGCCGUCGUUGCAUCCNN
rnacentral:lncRNA from 1 species